rnacentral:rRNA from 1 species
UACGUAGGUGGCAAGCGUUGUCCGGAUUUACUGGGCGUAAAGAGCGCGCAGGCGGUCGUAUAAGUCGAAUGUGAAAGCCCCCGGCUCAACUGGGGAGGGUCAUUCGAUACUGUUCGACUCGAAGGCAGGAGAGGGAAGCGGAAUUCCCGGUGUAGUGGUGAAAUGCGUAGAUAUCGGGAGGAACACCAGUGGCGAAGGCGGCUUUCUGGCCUGUUCUUGACGCUGAGGCGCGAAAGCUAGGGGAGCAAACGGG